GACGAACGCUGGCGGCGUGCUUAACACAUGCAAGUCGAACGGAAAGGCCCUGCUUUUGUGGGGUGCUCGAGUGGCGAACGGGUGAGUAACACGUGAGUAACCUGCCCUUGACUUUGGGACAACUUCAGGAAACUGGGGCUAAUACCGGAUAGGAGCUCCUGCUGCAUGGUGGGGGUUGGAAAGUUUCGGCGGUUGGGGAUGGACUCGCGGCUUAUCAGCUUGUUGGUGGGGUAGUGGCUUACCAAGGCUUUGACGGGUAGCCGGCCUGAGAGGGUGACCGGCCACAUUGGGACUGAGAUACGGCCCAGACUCAUACGGGAGGCAACAGUGGGGAAUAUUGCACAAUGGGCGGAAGACUGAUGCAGCAACGCCGCGUGCGGGAUGACGGCCUUCGGGUUGUAAACCGAUUUCGCCUGUGACGAAGCGUGAGUGACGGUAAUGGGUAAAGAAGCACCGGCUAACUACGU
rnacentral:rRNA from 1 species